rnacentral:rRNA from 1 species
GACGUAGGGCGCGAGCGUUGUCCAGAUUUAUUGGGCGUAAAGAGCUCGUAGGCGGCUUGUCGCGUCGAAUGUGAAAACUCGGGGCUCAACUCCGAGCUUGCAUUCGAUACGGGCAGGCUAGAGUUCGGUAGGGGAGACUGGAAUUCCUGGUGUAGCGGUAAAAUGCGCAGAUAUCAGGAGGAACACCGGUGGCGAAGGCGGGUCUCUGGGCCGAUACUGACGCUGAGGAGCGAAAGCGUGGGGAGCGAACAGG